rnacentral:rRNA from 1 species
GUGGGGAAUAUUGCGCAAUGGGGGGAACCCUGACGCAGCCAUGCCGCGUGAAUGAAGAAGGCCUUCGGGUUGUAAAGUUCUUUCGGUAUUGAGGAAGGGAUGUGUGCUAAUAGUACACGUCAUUGACGUUAAAUACAGAAGAAGCACCGGCUAACUCCGUGCCAGCAGCCGCGGUAAUACGGAGGGUGCGAGCGUUAAUCGGAAUAACUGGGCGUAAAGGGCACGCAGGCGGUUAUUUAAGUGAGAUGUGAAAGCCCCGGGCUUAACCUGGGAAUUGCAUUUCAGACUGGGUAACUAGAGUACUUUAGGGAGGGGUAGAAUUCCACGUGUAGCGGUGAAAUGCGUAGAGAUGUGGAGGAAUACCGAAGGCGAAGGCAGCCCCUUGGGAAUGUACUGACGCUCAUGUGCGAAAGCGUGGGGAGCAAACAGGAUUAGAAACCCUAGUAGUCC